rnacentral:piRNA from 1 species
UAUUUCUCCUUUAAAGCAGAU